GUUUAUAUAGUUUAUCAAAACAUUACAUUUUCAUUGUAAAAAUAAAAAAAUCUUUUUUAUAAAUA
rnacentral:tRNA from 1 species